CUGACCCUUUACAGGAAUAGCUCGCCGCAAGAUUAGAAUGUGAGUCAGCGCUAAGGCUGACAUGGUCCCGAAAAGAGUAUAUAAGAAGAAUGCCUUCAUUAAGAGGGCAUGAUAGAUCUACUUGACUUAUCACUGACAGGCAGCUCGUGAUAUUUAAACCUAUCAUCACCCCAAAAGGUAAUAUCUGACUUUCAUACUCUAGAACAAUUGUAACUUGUGAUUUCUGGAUUUUGUAAAGAGACGAACAGAGACAACUACCCUGUACACUCCCAUUGCUUAAUAUAUCCACUCCGUAACUGGAGUAGAUACACAGCAUCGGUGGUGUUACGAAGGGUCUUGAUCUCGACACAGCCUUUUAACAAGAUUCAGCGAAUCAUAGUACAAACUUCUAGUAGGAGGAACAGAUACUGAGUGAUUGGAUAAAACCUCUAGAGAAAUUGUGAGUUGAAGAACAUACUCUUUGGGAACCAACCAGGUCAGCUAAGGGCCUUGUCCACCUGAGUCUGACUGACAGGUCUCUGCCACUCCCUCAGCCUCUCUCUCAGCCCCGCAGCCCAGCUGAGCACCCGUCGCAGUCGCUUCUCUCUUUCUGCGCAGAUGCGGAACAUCUCCUCAGCCUGGUGCACCUGCAAACCGUAGCUUCCCUUCUAGGAGGAGCCAGCUUAAGUUGAGGGCACCCAUUCGCUCGGCAAAGAGUGUGCGCUCCUCAGAGCAGCUGACAGAGUUAUCCGAUGCUGCCACUGACUGCGGUCCGGACUGGCACAGGAAAUCCAGGUAUUGGAUUAUGUGUCUGAGCUGAUCUGCGUCAUGGCAGGCUAUGAUGGUGGCCUGUCCCUGAUCUUCCAGCCUGGCUUCUUUGUCCUUCACCCACGCCUCCAGGCCUGACAAU